GGGAGACCAUUUUGCUUUCUGCUGAAGAUGUGGUAAGGUGUUGAAAUUUGGCCUCUCCCAGAGUGUGCUGGGCAUGGUGAGGAAAGAUCUUCUCGAGUAAGUGACUCAACACUGGAUUGCGUGGCUUGGGCAAAGUUCCUCACCAGCAAAGUAGCUGCCUAGAAUUGAUCUCAAGGACUGAGACCACAUGAUCAUGAGAUUCUGCAGCAUAAGUAGACCUUAAUGAAUUUUGGGACAGAAGGCCAGCAGGACUCUACUAGAAUGGCUCAGGCAACCAACUCUUUGAUGAUCUAUGACAAACCUUAAGGAAUUGCAGGAAGCUGUCCAAUCAGGUUCAAACACUUCUCCUGGUGGAAUAUGAAGAGUUGCCUCUCCAUUCUGCACUUCCUUCAUCGUGGCAGUAGAGAAGGCUACGGAUGUCGAGAUGAGAAAGGAAAAUCGAAUUGAAAUCAGUGGCCAAUGGGACCUUCUAGUCCAAGGCAAUAUUCCAACAGGGUAUCUCAUCAGUUUUUCCAUUAGCAAAGAACACACAUUUGAAUCUGAACUUUAUGUGCCCACCAGCUAUAUUGUGACAUUUUGCCAAAGCAUUCUUAAUAAAUCCAAGAAACAAUGAAAGACCAUACCUGCAAGGUGGAUAACCAGUCCUUCCUGAACUCCACAGUCAGCUCUUUCGUCUCACUGACAUUGAGUACCAGAUUGUUUCUGCGGCACCACUCCACUAGUUGGCAUAUCUCACUCCUGUACGCCCUCUCGUCACCAGCUGAGAUUUUACCAACAAUGGUUGUAUCGUCAGCAAAUUUAUAGAUGGUAUUUGAGCUAUGCCUAGCCACACUGUCAUGUGUAUACAGAGAGUAGAGCAGUGGGCUAAGCACACACCCCAGAGUUGCGCCAGUGUUGAUCGCCAGCGAGGAUGAUAUAUUAUUACCAAUGCACACAGAUUGUGGUCUUCCGGUUAGGAAAUCAAGGAUCCAAUUGCAGAGGGAUGAAUUUGAAACAUGCAAGUAUCUCAGAUACUAACAAGCCAAGAAAAUAGAUCAUUGUGCAAUAAAGGGAAAACUUUUGACAGAAGUUACUUCAAUGCUUAAGAAAAUCUAUCGAAGCUCAAAUAAACAUAAAAAUGCAAAUAAACACUUUCAAUAUACCUAAUUAACAUAUUAUUUUCUCUAAUAUCUUGGUCUGGAAAAGUUACAAAGAAAAAUUAGAACUAAAAUGACUAAUUUUAGAAAACACUAUGUACAUUCGAUCACACUUGGAUUAACACUACAUACAAGGAGGAAGAGAAAUAACAGACAUAAAACAUUUACACAACAGUCAGAUAAAACUUAGGAUAUAUUUUCAUUAACAAAACAGGAUUCAGCACUCCACGCAACCAUAUGCAACUCUGAAAAAUAGUAAGCAGCAUUAAACUUAAAUGAAGGAAAAAUUAAGAAAUUAUCCCUAUAGAAGAAAAAGAUAAUCAGUGGAAGAGUAUGACCCUCCAUGGAAGACAUCUCCACGGUCUGAGCAGAACAGACAUUGAUGAGGAAGUGUCGAAUGCCUGUCUCAGAGACCUGUUCCCAGAAACAGCAAGGUUCCUUGUGACAAUACAGGACCAGUUGGUUAACAAAAAAACUUAACAAAAAUUCAUAAUAAAAGACCAACCUGAUUCAAGAUGAGAAAUGCAAAAAAAUGACGAGAGGAACCAGAAAUAAUAUAGCACAUUGCAAGGUCUGCAGUAGGUUUAACUCAAUCUGAUUACUUACAUAGGCAUAAUCAAAAGGCAAAUAUCAUUCACCAAAUAUCCUGAUUUAAAAUACAAACUCAUAAAAGACACCAUACCUUACUAUAAAUACAAGCCAGAUCUAGUUUUAGAGUCAGAAUCCUACAAAUAUUAUGACCAAUCCAUUAUUACAGAUUGGGCAAUCCAUAGUAACCACCCAUUGUAACUGGAUAUAAAAUUACAGGAUAAACAAGAACAACUUACUUAAUAGAUAUAGCCAUUUCAAAGACACAUAAUAUACAGAAAUCAGCAAGUGAAAAACACCAGAAAUAUGCAGAAUUAAAAGAAGAAAUUGAAAGACUAUGGAAUAUGAACAGGGUAUACAUUGUAAGCACGAGAAAGCCUGCAGAUACUAGAAAUCAGAAGUAAAACACAAAGUAAAACACACAAAAUGCUGGAAUAACUCAGCAGGUCAGGUAACAUCUAUAGAAAUGAAUAAACAGUUGACUUUUCAGGCCAUGAUCCUUCCUCAGGAAUGAGAAGGAAGGGAAAAGGCUUUACAUUGUCCCUUAGUAAUAUCUACAACUGGUACCAUCUCCAAAUCACUACACGAUAGCAUUAAACAAUUCUACAAAGCAAUAUUUAUGUAAAUCUCCAGAAAGCCACAAUACAAAGCACCAUCAGAAUAGUCCAAAAGUUCCGAGCAAUAGAGGAAUGUCCAUGCUCGGCUAUGCCCGUACCUCAGGUUUUACCAUGGAAGCCAUCUCCACGAUCUGAGCAGACUAGAUGUCGACAAGGAAGUAUUGAAUGCCUGGCUCAGAAACCUCUUCCCAGAAACAGAAGGCUUCCUUGUGACAAUACAGGGCCAGGCGGUUAACACAAAAAAAUAUCAAAAAUACAUAAUAAAAGACCAAUAAAUUCAAGAUGGUAGGACAAUCCACAAUAACCGUUUGGAUAUAACAUUGCAGGAAAAACAAGAGAAACAACUUAUUUAAUAGAUAUAGACUUUGAAAGGAAGCUCUCCAAGUACGCAGGACUGGUCAGCAACUGUCAGCAGGUUGGAUGGAGAGCGAGGUGUCUCCCAGUAGAGGCUGGUUAUAGGGGAUUCAUAGCCCGUUCUUUAGUUAGAGCCUUCAGCAUUUUGGGCAUCGAGGGAGAGAGGAAGAGAAGAGCCAUCUGCAGUACCACCGAUGCGGCAGAGAGGGCCUCAAGGUGGCUGUGGCUCAAAAGAGGGGAGCCAUGGAGUCAUAAGUAGCUAGCCAUCUGGACGCAAGCUGGGGUCUGAUCAGCCCUGGCUGGGUCACCUGGAGGAGGGUGUAUGAUGUUGAAAGACCCGAAAAUCCCCGAUGAUUCCAGGAACAUCACUGAAGAUGUGUCCAGAAGCAUCAGUAGAUGUAUGUACACAGUCCAAACACACACAACUUACAGAAAUCAGUAAGUGAAAACCAGCAGAAAUAAGCUGAAUUAACAGAGGAAAUUGAAAGUCUAUGGAAUAUGUACAGGGUAUAUAUUGUCCCAAUAGUAAUAUGUACAAUUGGCAUCAUCCCAAAGGCACUUCACAAUAACAUUACACAAUUAGGUCUACACAGUAAAAUCUAUGUAAAUCUUCAGAAAGACAUGAUACAAAAUCCCACUAGAGUAGUCCAAGAGUUAUUAGCAAUUAACAAAUGAGCAUCCUUGACUAUGCCUGUACCUCAGAAUUUGCCAGCUUGAGCUGGAAUAAAUAAGUAAGCAAAUGUGCUCAGAUUAACUGUACCUAGGACAGAAGGUGGAAGAGGAAUAACAGUCAUUAAAAAUCUACACAUCAGAAGGUGGAAGAGGAAUAACAGUCAUUAAAAAUCUACACAUCAGAUAAAACUUCUCGGGAUAUACUUUCCUCAAUGAAAACAGGAAUCAAUACUCCAUGAGAGCAUAUACAAUUCUGAUAAAAAGUAUGCAUCACUAACGUUAAAUGAGAGCACGACUCAGAAAGAUGAAGACAUUAUCGCUAUUGAAGAAAAAGUUAACCAAUGGAAGAGAAUGACCCUCCAUGGAAGACAUCCCCACGAUCUGAGCAGACUAGAUGUCGACAAGGAAUCAUCGAUCCCCCAGCUCAGAGUUGAAGACCUCUACCCAAAAACAGAAGGGUUCCUUGUGCAUACAGGACCAGGUGGUUAACACAAAAAAAAAUUAAAAAUACAUAAUAAAAGAUCAACAAAUUUAAGAUGAUAAAUGUAGAAAAUGCCAAGACAAUUCAACACAUUACAGGAUCCUAUAACAGCUGAGUACAAUCUGAUUACUUACACAGGCACAAUCGAGUGACAAAUAUCACUCAACAAAAUCAUGCCUUAAAAUACAAAAUCAUAAAUGAAAUCACACCUUAUUAUAAAUACAAGCCUGUUUCAGUUUUAGAAUCAGAAUACCGCAAAUUAUAUUACGACUGAUCAGUUACUGUAUUAGAGAUAAGACAAUCUAUAAUAACUGUCCGGAUAUAAUAAUACAGGAUAAACAAGGAAGAACAACUUAUUUAAUAGAAAUAGCCAUUCCAAACACACAUAACUUAUAGAAGUCAAUAAGUGAAAAACAGCAGAAAUAUGAUGAAUCAAAAGAGGAAAUUGAAAGACUUUGGAACAUGAACAAGAUAUACAUUGUUCCAUGAGAUGAAGAGUCAUUGAAAGAGAGUCAAUACGUUGUGAGACCAGAUAAGUGAUAAGGAAAGUAAAGUUGAGUGAGAUUAGCCCCUCUGGUUCAAGAGCCAAAUGGCUGAGAUGUGGUAACUGUUCCUGAACCUGGUAAUGAGUCCUAAAUCUCCUGAUCCUUCUUCCUGAUGGCUGCAGCGAGAAGAGAGCAUUACCUGGGUGGUGCACAUCCUGAGGAUGAAUGCUGCUUUCCUACAAUAAUUCUUCAUGUAGAUGUGCUCAAUGGUGGGGAGAGCUUUACCUGUGAUGGACUGGACCACAUCCACAACUUUUCAUAAUAUUUUCCAUUCAAGGGUAUUGGUGUAUCUAUACCAGAGUGUGAUGCAGCCAGUCAAUUUACUCUCUACCACACACCUAUAGAAGUUGGUCAAAGUUUUAGAUGUCAUGCUGAAUCUUCGUGAACUCUAAAGAAAGUAGAGGUACUGUGGUGCUUUCUUCAGGACGGGUCCAUGGAAAUGAUAACACAGAGGAAUUUAAAGCUGCUGAUCCUCUCCACCUCUGAUACCCCCAUGACGACUGGCUCAUGGACCUUCAAUUUCCUCCUCCUGAAAUCAAUAAUCAGCUCCUUGGUCAUGCUGACAUUGAGUGAGGCUGUUGUUGUAGCAUCACUCAUCCAGAUUUUCCAUCUCCCUCCUCUAUGUUGAGUGAUCACCACCUUUGAUUGGGCUUAGAACAGUGAUGUCAUCAGCAAAUUAAAUAUGGCUUUGGAGCUGUGCUUAGCUACACAGUCAGAAGUGUAAAGUGAGUAGACCUUGGGGCUAAGCACACUGCCUUGUGGUGCACUUGUGCUAUGGAGAAUAUGGAGGAGAUAUCAUUGCCAGUCCAAACAGAUCGUGGCCUUCAAGUGAGUAAAUUGAGCAUCCACAUCCAGAAGGAGGCUCUGAGGCCAAGAUCUUGAAACUUAUUGAUAAGUUCUGAGGGGAUGAUUGUAUAGAAUACUGAUCUGUAAUUGAUAAAAGGUAUCCUGAUCUAUGUAUCUUCAUGGUCCAGAUGUUCCAGUGUUGAGUAAAGAGACAACAAAAUGGCAUCUGCUGUGAACUGUUGUGCCGGUAUCAAGUUAAAUUAUCCAAAUCACUUUUCAGGCAGGAGUUGAUAUGUUUCAUCACCAACCUCUCAAAACACUUCAUCACAACGGAUGCAAGUGCUACUGGACGAUAGUCAUAGAGGCAGGGUACCACAUUCUUCUUAGGCACUGUUACGAGGGGUGAUUGAUAAGUUCGUGGCCUAAGGAAGAAGGAGUCAAUUUUAGAAAACCUAGCACAUUUAUUUUUCCUACAUUUACACACUUAGUCCAGCGGUCGUGGAGCAUACGGAUCCCUUCUUUGUAGAAUGUGGUGUCUUGGACCUCCAGAAGUGGUCCACAGCAGUGGUGAUUGAUAAGUUUGUGGCCUAAGGUAGAAGGAGAUGAGUUAUUAACUUCAAACUUUCAGCAUUUUCACUCAAAGAGUUGAACUGCACAUGCAUGUAACGAGAGCUGUAUAACUCAUCUUUUCCCUUCUAAUUAUUUUUAGUUGCUCUCUGUAGGUUUUUAAACACUUCCCAAUCUUCUAUGUUCCCACUAAUUUUUGCUUUGUUGUAUGCCCUUUCUUUUGCUUUUGCAAUAGCUUUGACUUCCCUUGUCAAUCAUGGUUGUACUAUUUUACCAUUUGAGUACUUUUUCAUUUUUGGAAUACACAUGUCCUGGAAUACACCCAAUCCAGUAUAGCUGAUCCCCAGUAGGCUUAAUGACAAACUGCUCUAAAAAGCAAUCUCUUAGGCAUUCAACAAACUCACUCUCAAGAUCCAUUACUAACCUGAUUGUCCCAAUCAACCUGCAUGUUAAAAUCUCCCAUGACUACCAUAACAUUACCCUUUUGACUUGCCUUUUCUAUUUCCUGUUGUAACCUGUGGUUCCCCCUCCCAGUCACUGUUGGGAGGCCUGUAUAUAACUGCCAUUGACAUCCUUUACCCUUGCAGAUUCUUAACUCAACCCACAAGGAUUCAACAUCUUCCAAUCCUAUGUCACAUCGUUCUACUGAUUGUAAAGGAUGCGUUUUGUUUUUAACCAGUAGAGCCACACCACUCCCGCUGCCUACCUUCCUAUCCCUCUGAUAUAAUGUGUAACCUUGAACGUUCAGUUCCCAACUACAACUAUCGUCCAGCCACAAUUCAGUUCAGUGAUGGCCACAACAUCAUACUUGGCAAUAUGUAAUAUUGCAACAAGAUUAUCCACCUUAUUUCUUAUACUACACGCAUUUAGAUACAACACCUUGAGUACUGUAUUUGCUACCCUUUCUGAUUCUGCAUCCCAAAUAUUUUGAUACUCCGCCUGUUGGCUGCAACUAAGUCCCAUCACCUGCCUGCACUUCUCGACAGUCUGACUGCACACUAUCUUUACUUUUUACCAUUUGUCCUAUCCUGAAUCCCUUCUCUCUGGUUCUCACCCCCCUACCAAGUUAGUUUAAACCCUCCCAAACAGCUCUAACAAACCUUGGUCCCCCUUGGGUUCAUGUACAAGCUGUCACUUUUGAACAGGUCAUACCUGUGGUAAAUCAUAUAUAUGUUGUAACUGGGUUAACUAUCUGGACACACCCAUCUGCUGACUGCUCCUGUGGCUCCUCCCACAGAUUCGCAGACACUCAGCAUGGAGGUCAUAUUGUACAGUGAAUAAAAGCCUUAAAGUAUUUCACCUAACUUCAGUUUUUUGGAGUUAUUGAAGGUGCUUCAAUUUUAUUCACUGUAAAUUUGAAAGCCGGAACUCUCAUAGACCCGACAAGUUAGACCUCGAUCCGCAAAUGCCUGAAGCUGGAAACGCUUUCGAACUCUGGCUGGCCUGCUUUGAAGCGUACCUGGAGGAUUUAAAGCGACUGACCCCGUAGCGAAGCGCAGAGUUCUACUCUCCAGGGUCAGUCCACGGGUCUAUUCGCUGAUCAGAGACCAGCUGAACUACGGUGCGAUGAGCGCCCUCAAAGGACAAUACCUGUGGCCAGUAAUCAGCAUCUAUGCGCGGCAUCGCUUAGCGACAUGGCAACAGCAGUCCGGGGCAUCAAGUGCUGAGUUCGUCCAGGCCCUAUGGACACUUGUGCAAGCCUGCACUUGCCAGGAGCUGACGGCGGCGUAGCACGCCGAACUCCUAGUGAGAGACGCCUUCAUCACGGGGACCAGGUCAGUGUAUGUACGCCAGCGGCUGCUGGAAAAAGCCAAUCUUACCUUUUAAGUUUGGCGAUCGAGCUGGCCGACACGCUGGAGGCCGCUCUACACAACCCUGAGGCUCUCCAGGCACGUAGACCCUGCAACCCACCGGCGAAUCGACCUCGGCUGCUGCCAAUCGCGAGUCCGCAAAGUGCUACUUCUGCAGACUCGAGAAGCACCUCGGAAACGCUGCCCGGCCCAACAAGCUACCCGCUCCAGCUGCGGAAGGAAGGGCCACUUUGCCAAGGUCUGUAAGUCCAAACCGCGAGCAGGAUCGAGCAGUGCCGCAUGCGAAACAUGGGGGUCGCCAUCUUGCCUGCCGCCAUCUUCCCUGCACACCGCCACCACGUGCAGACAUGGGGGCGGCCAUCUUGGUCGGCGCCACCUCCCAUCGCCUACAACCAACGGGUGCUCACGGGGUACCCCACCGUGCCGGACCAAGACAGCAGCUCAACUCUGGCUUCCGUGACCCUCGACCAAUGCGCUCCCCACCAGCUUGCAAGGUCAAUGAUGGACAUCCUGGUGGAGGGGCCCAGGACAAGCUGCCUGUUUGACACAGGCAGCACGGAGAGUUUUAUCCACUUGGACACGGUGCAGCAAUACGGACUCGUGAUACGGCCGGUAAGGCAGAGGGUCACCAUGGCUUCCGGGUCGCAUACAACAGACAUCCGGGGGGGUUGUGU